CGUACUGAGACACGGACCAGACUCCUACGGGAGGCAGCAGUGAGGAAUAUUGGACAAUGGGAGCAAUCCUGAUCCAGCCAUGCCGCGUGCAGGAAGACUGCCCUAUGGGUUGUAAACUGCUUUUAUACAGGAAGAAAAAGGUGUACGUGUACACUGUUGACGGUACUGUAAGAAUAAGGAUCGGCUAACUCCGUGCCGGCAGCCGCGGUAAUACGGAGGAUCCAAGCGUUAUCCGGAAUCAUUGGGUUUAAAGGGUCCGUAGGCGGGAUAAUAAGUCAGUGGUGAAAGUCUGCAGCUCAACUGUAGAAUUGCCAUUGAUACUGUUGUUCUUGAGUUAUUGUGAAGUGGUUAGAAUGAGUAGUGUAGCGGUGAAAUGCAUAGAUAUUACUCAGAAUACCGAUUGCGAAGGCAGAUCACUAACAAUACACUGACGCUGAUGGACGAAAGCGUAGGUAGCGAACAGGAUUAGAUACCCUGGUAGUCUACGCCGUAAACGAUGGUUACUAGCUGUUCGGGUUAAUUGAGACCUGAGUGGCUAAGCGAAAGUGAUAAGUAACCCACCUGGGGAGUACGUUCGCAAGAAUGAAACUCAAAGGAAUUGACGG
rnacentral:rRNA from 1 species